UACGGGGGGAGCAAGCGUUGUUCGGAUUUACUGGGCGUAAAGGGCGCGUAGGCGGUCAGCACAAGUCAGUUGUGAAAUCUCCAGGCUUAACUCGGAAAGGUCAACUGAUACUGUGCGACUAGAGUGCAGAAGGGGCAACUGGAAUUCUCGGUGUAGCGGUGAAAUGCGUAGAUAUCGAGAGGAACACCUGCGGCGAAGGCGGGUUGCUGGGCUGACACUGACGCUGAUGCGCGAAAGCCAGGGGAGCGAACGGG
rnacentral:rRNA from 1 species